rnacentral:lncRNA from 10 species
CAGCUCCGACCCAGCCCAAGCGUUCGCAGUGGAAGAAGUAACUGCAGAUGUGGUGGAAAUAACAAGAGAACUAGAAUUAGAAGUGGAGCCUGAAGAUGGGACUGAAUUGCUGCAAUCUCAUGAUAAAAUUUGAAGGGAUGAGGAGUCACUCAUGGAAGAGCAAAGAAAGUUGUCUCUUGAGAUGAAAUCUACUCCUAGUAAAGAUGCUAUGAACAUUGUUGAAGUGACAACUUAGCUGAUAAAGCAGUGGCAGAGUUUGAGAGGAUUGACUUCAAUUUUGAAAGUUCUGUGAGUAAAAUGUUACCAAACAGCAUCAGAUGCUACAGAGAAAUGUUUCACGAAAGAGCGUCAUUUCAGCAAACUUCUCAAACUUUAUUGUAGUCUUAUUUUAAGAAAUUGCAACAGCCACCUCAGCCUUCAGCAACCACCACCCUGAUCAGUCAGCAACCAUCAACAUUGAGGCAAGACCAUCUACCAGCAGAAAGAUUAUGACUUGGCUGAAGGCUCAGAUUAUUG